rnacentral:ncRNA from 22 species
GGGUGUACGAUCCGGAGGUCGGAUCGGCAGGUUUCUGCGUUGGUCGGGCCGCCAGCG